rnacentral:rRNA from 1 species
UACGUAGGUUGCGAGCGUUAUUCGGAUUUACUGGGCGUAAAGAGCACCGAGGUGGCUUCUUACGUUGGAUGUAAAAUCUCCUGGCUUAACUGGGAGGCGCCAUUCAAAACUGAGGAGCUUGAGGUCAGCAGGGGAAGGUGGAAUUCCCGGUGUAGUGGUGGAAUGCGUAGAGAUCGGGAGGAACACCAGUGGCGAAAGCGACCUUCUGGGCUGCACCUGACACUCUAGUGCGAAGGCGUGGGGAGCAAACAGG